AUGGUAUCCCGCGCUCUCCUGCUCGUCGCCGUCGUCCUGACGGCGCAGCUGUGCGCGUGCACGGCGUACGCCGGCAGCGGCGGCGAUGGGUUUAGCGUGGAGUUCAUCCACCGUGACUCGGUCAGGUCGCCGUUCCAUGACGCGACGCUCACCGCGCCCGCCCGCGUCCUCGAGGCCGUGCGGCGGUCCGCGGCCCACGCCGCGGCGCUCUCGCGCUCCUACGUCCGCGCCGACGCGCCCUCAGCUGACGGCGUCGUGUCCCCGGUCACGUCUAGGUCGUCCGAGUACUUGAUGGCCGUGAACAUAGGCACGCCGCCCACUCGUAUGUUCGACCCCUACAAAUCGACGACGUUCGGCGUCGUGGACUGUAACUCCGGCACGUGCCGCGCGCUCCACGGGGAAUGCGACGCCAACUCCAAGUGCACGUACAUCUACUCCUACGCCGACGACUCCCGCACGAGCGGCCUCCUCUCCACAGAGACCUUCACCUUCGCCGACGCCCCGGGCGCCCGCGGCGAUGGGACGACGCGCGUGGCCAACGUCAACUUCGGCUGCUCCACGACCUUCGUCGGCACGUACAUCGGGGACGGCAUCGUCGGCCUCGGCGGCGGCGACCUCUCCCUCGUCAGUCAGCUCGGCACAGACACCUCGCUGGGCCGAAGGUUCUCCUACUGCCUCGUGCCCUACUCCGUCAAUGCCUCCUCCGCGCUCAACUUCGGCCCCCGGGCCGCCGUCACGGAUCCGGGAGCGGUGACGACGCCGCUGAUCCCAUUCAAAGUGAAGGCAUACUACAUCGUCGAGCUCCAGUCCCUCAAUGUCGGGAACGCGACCUUCGCGGCGCCGGACCGGUCCCCCCCGCCAGAGGAGUCGUCCCUGCUGCUGUGCUUCGACGUAAGCGGGGUGCGGGAGGGGCAGGUUGCGGCCAUGAUCCCUGAAGUGACGCUGGGGCUGGGCGGCGGCGCUGCGGUCACGCUGAAGGCGGAGAACACGUUCUUCGAGGUGCAGGAGGGGACCCUGUGCUUGGCGGUGGCGGCGGCGAAGCCGGAGCAGCUUCCGGCGUCGAUCAUCGGGAACAUCGCCCAGCAGAACAUGCACGUCGGCUAUGACCUCGACAAGGGCACCGUGACCUUCGCCCCAGCAGACUGCGCGAGUUCGUACCCCGCCCCCUCGCCCUCCGGCUCUGUGUAG
rnacentral:rRNA from 1 species